CGGGCGGGUGAGUAACGCGUGGGGAACCUGCCCUGUACCGGGGGAUAGCAGCCGGAAACGGCUGAUAAUACCGCAUAAGCGCACGAAUGUCGCAUGACAUGGUGUGAAAAACUCCGGUGGUAUAGGAUGGACCCGCGUAUGAUUAGCCUGUUGGUGGGGUAAAAGCCUACCAAAGCGAAGAUCAGUAGCCGAGUUGAGAGACUGACCGGCCACAUUGGGACUGAGACACGGCCCAGACUCCUACGGGAGGCAGCAGCG
rnacentral:rRNA from 1 species